ACGGGAGGCAGCAGUGGGGAAUAUUGCACAAUGGGGGAAACCCUGAUGCAGCGACGCCGCGUGAGUGAAGAAGUAUUUCGGUAUGUAAAGCUCUAUCAGCGGGGAAGAAAAUGACGGUACCUGACUAAGAAGCCCCGGCUAACUACGUGCCAGCAGCCGCGGUAAUACGUCGGGGGCAAGCGUUAUCCGGAUUUACUGGGUGUAAAGGGAGCGUAGACGGUAAUGCAAGUCAGAAGUGAAAGCCCAGGGCUCAACCUUGGGACUGCUUUUGAAACUGUAAUACUAGAGUGCAGGAGAGGUAAGUGGAAUUCCUAGUGUAGCGGUGAAAUGCGUAGAUAUUAGGAGGAACACCAGUGGCGAAGGCGGCUUACUGGACUGUAACUGACGUUGAGGCUCGAAAGCGUGGGGAGCAAACAGGAUUAGAUACCCUGGUA
rnacentral:rRNA from 1 species